GGCCUCCUUGGUGCUUACCACAGGCUGUGUUCUUAUGCUGACCGUACAGAAAGAGGAGGCAAAGUAUACCUAGCCCAUGUGUACCUCAGCCCAGGCCCUGUGCCUGGUCUGUAUUGUGAAUGGGGGACAUGG
rnacentral:snoRNA from 1 species